UACGUAGGGUCCAAGCGUUAUCCGGAUUCACUGGGCGUAAAGGGUGCGUAGGUGGUUAGGUAAGUCCGAUGUGAAAUCUCCAGGCUCAACCUGGAAAUGGCAUUGGAUACUAUCUAGCUUGAGGAGUGGAGGGGGGACUGGAAUUCUCGGUGUAGCAGUGAAAUGCGUAGAUAUCAAGAGGAACACCUGAGGUGAAGACGGGUUGCUGGGCCGACACUGACGCUGAUGCGCGAAAGCCAGGGGAGCAAACGGG
rnacentral:rRNA from 1 species